CUACGGGGCGCAGCAGGCGCGAAACCUUUACAAUGCACGAAAGUGUGAUAAGGGAACCCCUAGUGCUCAAGUUCUGCUUGGGCUUUUGCCAAAAGUAAAAAUUUUGGCGAAUAAGUGGUGGGAAAGACUGGUGCCAGCCGCCGCGGUAACACCAGCGCCGCAAGUGGUGACCGCAUUUAUUGGGCCUAAAGCGUCCGUAGCCGGUCUAGUAAAUCCUUUGUGAAAUUGUUAGGCUCAACCUAACAGCGUGCUGAGGAGACUGCUAGACUUGAGACCGGGAGAGGUUAGGAGAAUGCCAGGGGGAGCGGUAAAAUGCUAUAAUCCCUGGUAGACUGCCUGUGGCGAAGGCGCCUAACUAGAACGGUUCUGACGGUGAGGGACGAAAGUCAGGGGAGCGAUCCGGAUUAGAUACCCUCGUAGUC
rnacentral:rRNA from 1 species